rnacentral:tRNA from 1 species
AUCUUUCUAGUACGAACGAAAGUAUAGGUGACUUCCACUCAUCCGGUCUUGGUUUAACCCCAAGGAAAGAUA